ACAAAGUCGAGGCUUUUGCUUGGAAGGCCUGUGCUGGCAUUGCACCAGUUGGGGAACUUCAGAAACACAAGAAAAUGGUGAAUGAUGCUAACUGUCCACUAUCUACUUGCUAAGCACAUUUGGAAAUUGCGUGGUUUACAUUACUGGACUGGAUUUGAUUACAAAGGUGAUUUCUGCUUGUGGGCAAUGUAUGUGAAUUUGAUAACAAAGGUGAUUUCUGCUUGUGGGCAAUGUAUGUAAGGCUAAAUGCAAUCAUAGCUUUGAUUACUUCUUUGUCUUGGCUCGGAGCAAUUCAUGAUUUAGUGGGAGGCAGAAAUCUGCUAAUGAUAGUGUUGAAUUUGCUUACGGAAUAUUAGAAGAUCACAGAGAGAACUGCAAAACUUAUACUAGUGCUGCUUAUCAAGUAAAUUUUGGCGGUACUCAAUUCAAAGAAAGUACGGCAGUAGUAGGUGUUAUUGUAAGGAACUCCCUAGGUAGUGUGAUGACUUGGUGCUGAGAAUAUGGAACAUAUUAGACGUCAAUCAUAUAAAAGUUGUUAGUGCAAUGUUGUCAAUCAGGACUUUGGGCUUCUCAAGUAUUCAUGUUGAACGGGAUUCCUUAACGGUGAUUAAUGGUAUCAAGGCUGUGGGAGAUAAUUUUCUAUAAUUAGACACAUCAGUAUGAUUAUUCAAAACCGACUAAGAUGUUUUCAAGAGAUUCAAGUAUCUUAUGUCAAGUGAUGAGGUAAUAAAGUUGCUCUGCUACUUGCUCGGUUCGCGCAGAAUGAAGGACGGAUGAGAUUUUGGAUCGAAGAAGUUCAAAUCCAAUGGAAGUCAUUGCUUGUGUACUUUUUGAAUCUAUUUAUUUGAUACAAUUAUCUUUCUCCCAAUAAUAAAUAAAUAAAUAUAUAAAAAGA